rnacentral:rRNA from 1 species
UACGUAGGGUGCAAGCGUUAAUCGGAAUUACUGGGCGUAAAGCGUGCGCAGGCGGUUGUGCAAGACAGAUGUGAAAUCCCCGGGCUUAACCUGGGAAUUGCAUUUGUGACUGCACGGCUAGAGUGUGUCAGAGGGGGGUAGAAUUCCACGUGUGAGCAGUGAAAUGCGUAGAUAUGUGGAGGAAUACCGAUGGCGAAGGCAGCCCCCUGGGAUAACACUGACGCCUCAUGCACGAAAGCGUGGGGAGCAAACAGGA